AUUGAACGCUGGCGGCAUGCCUUACACAUGCAAGUCGAACGGUAACAGGUCUUCGGAUGCUGACGAGUGGCGAACGGGUGAGUAAUACAUCGGAACGUGCCCGAUCGUGGGGGAUAACGAAGCGAAAGCUUUGCUAAUACCGCAUACGAUCUACGGAUGAAAGCAGGGGACCGCAAGGCCUUGCGCGAACGGAGCGGCCGAUGGCAGAUUAGGUAGUUGGUGGGAUAAAAGCUUACCAAGCCGACGAUCUGUAGCUGGUCUGAGAGGACGACCAGCCACACUGGGACUGAGACACGGCCAAGACUCCUACGGGAGUCAGCAGUGGGGAAUUUUGGACAAUGGGCGAAAGCCUGAUCCAGCCAUGCCGCGUGCAGGAUGAAGGCCUUCGGGUUGUAAACUGCUUUUGUACGGAACGAAAAGACUCUGGUUAAUACCUGGGGUCCAUGACGGUACCGUAAGAAUAAGCACCGGCUAACUACGUGCCAGCCGCCGCCGUAAUAC
rnacentral:rRNA from 1 species